AACGGGUGAGUAAUGCAUCGGAACGUGCCCAGUCGUGGGGGAUAACUGCUCGAAAGAGCAGCUAAUACCGCAUACGACCUGAGGGUGAAAGCGGGGGACCGUAAGGCCUCGCGCGAUUGGAGCGGCCGAUGUCAGAUUAGCUAGUUGGUGGGGUAAAGGCCUACCAAGGCAACGAUCUGUAGUUGGUCUGAGAGGACGACCAGCCACACUGGGACUGAGACACGGCCCAGACUCCUACGGGAGGCAGCAGUGGGGAAUUUUGGACAAUGGGCGCAAGCCUGAUCCAGCAAUGCCGCGUGCAGGAAGAAGGCCUUCGGGUUGUAAACUGCUUUUGUCAGGGAAGAAAUCUUCUGGGCUAAUACCCCGGGAGGAUGACGGUACCUGAAGAAUAAGCACCGGCU
rnacentral:rRNA from 1 species